rnacentral:lncRNA from 1 species
AUCUAGUCUCCUUCUUUGAGAAGGACACUUAGAUUUUUUUUGUCUUAUUGUCAUUUAUAUUUUUACUUGCUACCUCAUACACCUAAGUCAUCAGAACAAUUAUUGUUUUUUAAAUGACCAACAAUAGGAACACACACACAAACACACACAUUAACCAAUAUUUUCCAAUAAUAUGUAAAAGUUUUAACUUAGCAAGCCGUAAUAAGACAAUAAGGUCCAAAAUACUAACAACUUCGAACUAUCUGUAAGAAUCGACAUGAAACAGAAGAACCUGGUUAGUAAUGAGCCCCCUCAGUAAUAUACAGAAUCGGUUGAUAACAAAAUUCAAACACAGCUUUUUGAUAAGGAUGAUAAAAGGAAUAACAGCCAAGCUAAUUGGGAAGGAAUUUGCUGCCAAUUCAACAGAGUUCGUAUCAAUAGCGUUUGUCUUUUAAAUGUUUGUAUCCUUCUACUCUCAUUCCACAGAC